rnacentral:RNase_P_RNA from 1 species
AUGGUGUUUUGGGUAAUCGCUAUAGCGAUAUAGAGGAAAGUCCAUGCUCACACAAUCUGAGAUGAUUGUAGUGUUCGUGCUUGAUGAAACAAUAAGUCAAGGCAUUAAGUUGACGGCAACGAAAUAACCUAAGUCUUUAGAUACGGUUAAAAUAGUUUGAAAGUGCCACAGUGACGUAGCUUUUAUAGAAAUAUAAAAGGUGGAACGCGGUAAACCCCUCGAGUGAGCAAUCCAAAUUAGGUAGGAGCACUUAUUUAACGGAAUUCAACGUAUAAAUAAGGCAUACUUUAAAAGUAUGUAGACAGAUGGUUACCACCAGCGUACGAGUGUAACUAGUACACGUUGGCAGUACAAAGGUACAAAACAUGGCUUAUAGAAACAUCAUUACU